rnacentral:rRNA from 1 species
AGAAUCAACGCUGGCGGCGUGCCUAACACAUGCAAGUCGAGCGAGAAAAGGGGGGCAACUCCCUGAGUACAGCGGCGCACGGGUGAGUAACACGUGGGUAAUCUGCCCUGAAGUGGGGAAUAACACCGGGAAACCGGUGCUAAUACCGCAUAUGAUCACGGUGUCUGCGGACACAGGGAUGAAAGGAGCAAUUCGCUUCAGGAGGAGCCCGCGGCUGAUUAGCUAGUUGGUGAGGUAACGGCUCACCAAGGCAACGAUCAGUAUCCGGUCUGAGAGGACGGUCGGACACACUGGAACUGAGACACGGUCCAGACUCCUACGGGAGGCAGCAGUGGGGAAUUUUUCGCAAUGGGGGCAACCCUGACGAAGCAACGCCGCGUGGGUGAUGAAGUCUCUUGGGACGUAAAACCCUUUCGACAGGGAAGAAACCGCAAGGUUGACGGUACCUGUAGAAGAAGCCCCGGCUAACUCCGUGCCAGCAGCCGCGGUAAUACGGGGGGGGCAAGCGUUGUUCGGAAUUACUGGGCGUAAAGGGCGCGUAGGCGGUCUACUAAGUUGGAUGUGAAAACUCUGGGCUUAACUCAGAGCCUGCAUUCAAAACUGAUAGGCUGGAGUUCUGGAGGGGAUGGCG